GGAUAGGAUUUAUAGCUUGGCAACAGCUGGAGUGCCACAGGAGUGCGGAGACUGCGGUAGGCUGCUGAGUAUACAGUUUUAUAUCAACUAUAGAGUUGUUCCAUAAAGGACCUUUUUGGAGAAAAAAAAAACACUGCAAUAUUUUGAACUGGGGCCCUGGGGUAUUUAGCAAUGCCCCUUGGUUAUAUUGAGGAAAGAUACACAGCCUUGUACUGUGUUUAGAAAAAAGAAAAAAUCUAGAAAGACGUAAAUUAGACAUGGAAGUCCGGAGCCUGCUCUUUCCCUGCAGAAAAGUGUAAAGGGCUUUUCUUGUGGAUUAAGAUCUGGUUGAACUUCCACUUUGUGAGGAAUGUGACGUGUAUCCGCCAAUAAAGUAUACAGAAAUGGAGGGCACUAAAAGAAUCCUUGGAAGUAUGUUCCUUUGCUUGCGUUCUUUACCAUGUAAGAAUUCAAAAAUACAGACUUUCAUCUCUUUGGAGGAGUUGUUAUCAGCUCCUUCCAUUGGCAUGUCCUUUACUAAAUCCAGGAACAGAAGAAGCAGUGCGCGGCGUGCAGGAAGGCACUAAUAUGUCAACACAUUUGAGAGUUCAAACAACAAAAUGUCAUCUAUGAUACUCUAAUUCAGUGACUGAAUACAAUUGUGAUAUUUUAUAUGCCAAUUCCUUUUAAGAGAAAAUGAUGGUAUCAUAUUAUUUUAGUACAAGCGAAUAUAAGAACAUUUGUAAUAUAUCUUAUUAGACAAAAACACUAAGGCCUGGUUUACAUAUUUCUGGCAUCCGGCAUAGGUGAACUCAGCCUAAAUCUAGACGCAACUGAUGCCACAACUGAUGACAGGUUGUCAUCAGUUGCAUUGCAUCCGGCGUCCAUUGUUUUUGCACAGUGGACAGGGGAACGCAGCAAACUGUGUUCCCCUGUCCGGUGCCCUCUGGCCUGUCCAACCAUCCGGCAUAAAAAUGCUGGAUGAUUAUGAACUGUCCCAUUCAAAUGAAUGGGAUCAGUUCUAGCAUCAGUUUCCUAACGGUGCACGUAUGCCUGAUAUAUGUGAACCCAACCUUGUUUCUCCAGUUAUCAAGCUUAUUCCUUUUACACCUCUCUUGUAAGAUUGCAUUACACUCUGAAAAUCAGCUCCUCUUUGUUCUGUUUCUGCAAGAAACUAGUCUAUGGAGAGGGGAGGAGGGAGCUCAACCCACCAGCUCUAGAAGAACUGUAAAUUAGAGUUGAAGACUGCAGAGCAGAAAUCUGCAGAAAAAUACAAUAAACAGGUUACAUAAUGGCCAGAAAUAGUGCUGCUCCUCAUGUAAACACAAAGGGCUGCUUAUCAUGAAAAUAAAUAUUUUUUUACAUGACACUAUUGCUUAAAAUAAAUAAUAUUGUUUGGCUUGGGCCAAGUUUUUAUGCCUUUUAUAGCUGCAAUAUUUGGUGUUGUACUGAAUUGACCUUACAGAACUACAAAAUGGUAGAUUUUUGAUAAAGACUUUAAGAAAAAUUAUUU